rnacentral:rRNA from 1 species
CCUACGGGAGGCAGCAGUGAGGAAUAUUGGUCAAUGGCCGCAAGGCUGAACCAGCCAAGCCGCGUGAGGGAGGAAGGCGCAGAGCGUCGCAGACCACUUUUGCCGGGGGAUAAAUGGCCGUACUCGUCCGGUCUUGAGGGUAUCCGGAGAAAAAGCAUCGGCUAACUCCGUGCCAGCAGCCGCGGUAAUACGGAGGAUUCGAGCGUUAUCCGGAUUUAUUGGGUUUAAAGGGUGCGUAGGCGGUUCUUUAAGUCAGGGGUGAAAUCCCGGGGCUCAACUCCGGCCGAGCCGUCGAUACUGGGGGGCUAGAGUGCAGCGGAGGCAUGCGGAAUGCACAGUGUAGCGGUGAAAUGCUUAGAUA